rnacentral:tRNA from 1 species
GGAGAGGUGGCCGAGUGGCUGAAGGCACUCGCCUGCUAAGCGAGUAAGGGGGGAAACCUCCUUCGCGGGUUCGAAUCCCGCCCUCUCCG